rnacentral:rRNA from 1 species
ACGGAAGGCAGCAGUCGGGAAUAUUGCGCAAUGGAGGGAACUCUGACGCAGUGACGCCGCGUAUAGGAAGAAGGUUUUCGGAUUGUAAACUAUUGUCGUUAGGGAAGAAAGUAAUGACAGUACCUAAGGAGGAAGCACCGGCUAACUAUGUGCCAGCAGCCGCGGUAAUACAUAGGGUGCGAGCGUUAUCCGGAUUUAUUGGGUGUAAAGGGUGCGUAGACGGGAAAUUAAGUUAGUUGUGAAAUCCCUCGGCUUAACUGAGGAACUGCAACUAAAACUGAUAUUCUGGAGUGUCGGAGGGGAAAGUGGAAUUCCUAGUGUAGCGGUGAAAUGCGUAGAUAUUAGGAGGAACACCAGUGGCGAAGGCGACUUUCUGGACGAUAACUGACGUUGAUGCACGAAAGUGUGGGGAGCAAACAGGAUUAGAUACCCUGGUA